CGUCUAUAUACGUAUAGCAUAUCAAUAAGCGGAGGAAAAGAAACUAACAAGGAUUCCCUUAGUAACGGCGAGUGAAGCGGGAAGAGCUCAAAUCUGAAAUCUUCAAGGUUCUACCUUGACGAAUUGUAGUUUAAAGAAGUGUUUUCUGUUAGAGGAGUAGGCAAAAGUUCCUUGGAAUAGGACAUCAUAGAGGGUGAGAAUCCCGUAUUUGGUUAUUCUUUCUAGCUGUGUGAUACACUUUCAAAGAGUCGGAUUGUUUGGGAAUGCAGUCCAAAAUGGGUGGUAAAUUUCAUCUAAAGCUAAAUAUUGGCGAGAGACCGAUAGCGAACAAGUACCGUGAGGGAAAGAUGAAAAGAACUUUGAAAAGAGAGUUAAACAGUACGUGAAAUUGUCAAAAGGGAAGCGUUUGACACCAGUGUUGUUUUUCCGAAAAUCAAUUAAGAGUGGCUUGAUUUUGUGUUGUAUUGACCUUAUCAGCUUUCUUCACUCUUUUUCGAGUCUUUCUUAAUGCACUUUUCGGUUAACAAGUCAACAUCAAUUUCUUUUGUUGUAAAAGGGUAUUUGGAAGGUGGCUUUCUUUUCGGAGAAAGUGUUUAUAGCCUUAUACCUCUACAAUCGGAGAGAUUGAGGUCUGCAGCGUAGAUCCUUCGGGGCUAGAUACACUUGUGCUAAGUUAUAGCUUUUCAUAGACAACUUGUUGACUAUGUUUAGUCAUGUAGCUUACCCGCUUGUGCUAUUUUACCUACGCUUAGGAUGUUGAGUCAUCACACAUCUCU
rnacentral:rRNA from 1 species